rnacentral:rRNA from 1 species
UGUGCUUAACACAUGCAAGUCGAACGAGCAGCCACUGGAUCUUCGGAACUGGUGGUGGGCGAGUGGCGAACGGGUGCGUAACACGUAGGGACCUACCCCGAGGAGAGGGACAACCGGUGGAAACGCCGGCUAAGCCCGCAUAGUCUCAACCUCUGAGUUGAGUAAAGCUCCGGCGCCUUGGGAGGGUCCUGCGGCCUAUCAGGUAGUUGGUGGGGUAACGGCCCACCAAGCCGACGACGGGUAGGGGGCGUGAGAGCGUGGCCCCCCACACGGGAACUGAGACACGGUCCCGACGCCUACGGGCGGCAGCAGUGAGGAAUCUUGCGCAAUGGGGGAAACCCUGACGCAGCGACACCGCGUGCGGGAUGAAGGCUUUCGGGUCGUAAACCGCUUUUCUGUGGGACGAGGACGGACGGUACCAUAGGAAUAAGUCCCGGCUAACUACGUGCCAGCAGCCGCGGUAAAACGUAGGGGGCGAGCGUUAUCCGGAAUUACUGGGCGUAAAGGGCGUCUAGGCGGCCGAGUAAGUCUCAUGUGAAAGCUCCUGGCUCAACUGGGAGAGUGCGUGGGAAACUGCUUGGCUUGAGUGUCGGAGGGGGGUGUGGAAUUCCCGGUGGAGUGGUGGAAUGCGUUGAGAUCGGGAGGAACACCAGAAGCGAAGGCGGCACCCUGGCCGACUACUGACGCUGAAGCGCGAAAGCGUGGGGAGCGAACGGGAUUAGAUACCCCGGUAGUCCACGCUGUAAACGAUGACAACUAGGUGUUGGGUGUCGAAGGACGUUCAGUGCCGCAGCUAACGCGAUAAGUUGUCCGCCUGGGGAGUACGGCCGCAAGGCUAAAACUCAAAGGAAUUGACGGGGGCCCGCACAAGCAGCGGAGCGUGUGGUUUAAUUCGAUGCAACGCGAAGAACCUUACCUGGUCUUGACAUGUAAGUGGUAGGGCGCUGAAAGGCAACCGACCCUUGGGAGCUUACACAGGUGCUUCAUGGCU